rnacentral:rRNA from 1 species
AUUGAACGCUGGCGGCAGGCCUAACACAUGCAAGUCGAGCGGAUGAAGGGAGCUUGCUCCUGGAUUCAGCGGCGGACGGGUGAGUAAUGCCUAGGAAUCUGCCUGGUAGUGGGGGAUAACGUCCGGAAACGGGCGCUAAUACCGCAUACGUCCUGAGGGGGAAAGUGGGGGAUCUUCGGACCUCACGCUAUCAGAUGAGCCUAGGUCGGAUUAGCUAGUUGGUGGGGUAAAGGCCUACCAAGGCGACGAUCCGUAACUGGUCUGAGAGGAUGAUCAGUCACACUGGAACUGAGACACGGACCAGACUCCUACGGGAGGCAGCAGUGGGGAAUAUUGGACAAAGGGCGAAAGCCUGAUCCAGCCAUGCCGCGUGUGUGAAGAAGGUCUUCGGAUUGUAAAGCACUUUAAGUUGGGAGGAAGGGCAGUAAGUUAAUACCUUGCUGUUUUGACGUUACCAACAGAAUAAGCACCGGCUAACUUCGUG